CCUACGGGAGGCAGCAGUGGGGAAUAUUGGGCAAUGGGCGCAAGCCUGACCCAGCAACGCCGCGUGAAGGAAGAAGGCUUUCGGGUUGUAAACUUCUUUUGACAGGGAAGAGUAGAAGACGGUACCUGUCGAAUAAGCCACGGCUAACUACGUGCCAGCAGCCGCGGUAAUACGUAGGUGGCAAGCGUUGUCCGGAUUUACUGGGUGUAAAGGGCGUGUAGCCGGGUUGACAAGUCAGAUGUGAAAUCCUGCGGCUUAACCGCAGAACUGCAUUUGAAACUGUUGAUCUUGAGUACUGGAGAGGCAGACGGAAUUCCUAGUGUAGCGGUGAAAUGCGUAGAUAUUAGGAGGAACACCAGUGGCGAAGGCGGUCUGCUGGACAGCAACUGACGGUGAGGCGCGAAAGCGUGGGGAGCAAACAGGAUUAGAUACCCCAGUAGUC
rnacentral:rRNA from 1 species